rnacentral:rRNA from 1 species
CCUUUGUACACACCGCCCGUCGCUACUACCGAUUGAAUGACCAAGUGAGGCCUUCGGAUUGGCUUUGGGGAGCCGGCAACGGCACCCUAUUGCUGAGAAGCUGAUCAAACUUGGUCAUUUAGAGG